GAUGAACGCUGGCGGCGUGCCUAAUACAUGCAAGUCGAGCGAACGGACGAGAAGCUUGCUUCUCUGAUGUUAGCGGCGGACGGGUGAGUAACACGUGGAUAACCUACCUAUAAGACUGGGAUAACUUCGGGAAACCGGAGCUAAUACCGGAUAAUAUUUUGAACCGCAUGGUUCAAAAGUGAAAGACGGUCUUGCUGUCACUUAUAGAUGGAUCCGCGCUGCAUUAGCUAGUUGGUAAGGUAACGGCUUACCAAGGCAACGAUGCAUAGCCGACCUGAGAGGGUGAUCGGCCACACUGGAACUGAGACACGGUCCAGACUCCUACGGGAGGCAGCAGUAGGGAAUCUUCCGCAAUGGGCGAAAGCCUGACGGAGCAACGCCGCGUGAGUGAUGAAGGUCUUCGGAUCGUAAAACUCUGUUAUUAGGGAAGAACAUAUGUGUAAGUAACUGUGCACAUCUUGACGGUACCUAAUCAGAAAGCCACGGCUAACUACGUGCCAGCAGCCGCGGUAAUACGUAGGUGGCAAGCGUUAUCCGGAAUUAUUGGGCGUAAAGCGCGCGUAGGCGGUUUUUUAAGUCUGAUGUGAAAGCCCACGGCUCAACCGUGGAGGGUCAUUGGAAACUGGAAAACUUGAGUGCAGAAGAGGAAAGUGGAAUUCCAUGUGUAGCGGUGAAAUGCGCAGAGAUAUGGAGGAACACCAGUGGCGAAGGCGACUUCCUGGUCUGUAACUGACGCUGAUGUGCGAAAGCGUGGGGAUCAAACAGGAUUAGAUACCCUGGUAGUCCACGCCGUAAACGAUGAGUGCUAAGUGUUAGGGGGUUUCCGCCCCUUAGUGCUGCAGCUAACGCAUUAAGCACUCCGCCUGGGGAGUACGACCGCAAGGUUGAAACUCAAAGGAAUUGACGGGGACCCGCACAAGCGGUGGAGCAUGUGGUUUAAUUCGAAGCAACGCGAAGAACCUUACCAAAUCUUGACAUCCUUUGACAACUCUAGAGAUAGAGCUUUCCCCUUCGGGGGACAAAGUGACAGGUGGUGCAUGGUUGUCGUCAGCUCGUGUCGUGAGAUGUUGGGUUAAGUCCCGCAACGAGCGCAACCCUUAAGCUUAGUUGCCAUCAUUAAGUUGGGCACUCUAAGUUGACUGCCGGUGACAAACCGGAGGAAGGUGGGGAUGACGUCAAAUCAUCAUGCCCCUUAUGAUUUGGGCUACACACGUGCUACAAUGGACAAUACAAAGGGCAGCGAAACCGCGAGGUCAAGCAAAUCCCAUAAAGUUGUUCUCAGUUCGGAUUGUAGUCUGCAACUCGACUACAUGAAGCUGGAAUCGCUAGUAAUCGUAGAUCAGCAUGCUACGGUGAAUACGUUCCCGGGUCU
rnacentral:rRNA from 1 species